UACAGAGGUCUCAAGCGUUGUUCGGAUUCAUUGGGCGUAAAGGGUGCGUAGGUGGCGCGGUAAGUCGGGUGUGAAAUCUCGGGGCUUAACUCCGAAACUGCAUUCGAUACUGCCGUGCUUGAGGACUGGAGAGGAGACUGGAAUUUACGGUGUAGCAGUGAAAUGCGUAGAUAUCGUAAGGAAGACCAGUGGCGAAGGCGGGUCUCUGGACAGUUCCUGACACUGAGGCACGAAGGCCAGGGGAGCAAACGGG
rnacentral:rRNA from 1 species